GUUGAGUUUAAUACAAAGCGUUCACAAACACAAGUCCUGAAAGGCUAUUUGGAAGAGAAGCAGCUGCUACUGGCCUACAAGACAGGCUAUAUUGACUAUGACUGCUGUUAUUCCAUUACACAAGGACCAGAGGGUAGGAUGCCAGAAGAGCAUCGUCCCAAACAAAGAAAAAAGACCACAAUAUCCAUCCAAUAUCUGAAAACAAUCCUUAAAAAUGCCUCCGGGCUUAAAUGUUGAGCCUCUGUUCAAUCCCAUCUCCUAAGGAAUGAAAUAAAAACAGAUGGAAAAUACAUUUAAGAAACAAUAUUCUUCCACAUAUCUCCAGGACCAAAUGCCUGGAGGGCCUGAAUGUUAAGUCCUUUGCUGCUCUUUGAGCGUGCGGUGGCAGGAGGAAGGAGCAAGCACAUAGAGAAGAGCACAUAAAUAACCCUCGGGACGGCCAGUAGAAACUAAGGUAAUGCAAGGCGACAGUAUUUGGAAUGGGAAAACACAAAUAAACUGGGUUAUUGCGGAUAAACCGAGAGAAGAUAUGGUAUUACUUAUCUUGUAAAAUGUAAGUCUCGCUCUUGUCAUCGUUCAGGCUUUGCAUUUGAACUCCUAUGACUGGUUGCGGACUUGAAGGGAACGCUUUCCUGACAUCCAGGAAAAAGAGGCAGUAGAUAUCUACUGGAAACAGUGGAGAGGGAGGAGAUGAUAUGCAGCAAAAGGCCCAGCCGGAUGGUUGCUGCUCCGUGUGGAACGUGUUCUAUCAGGUGUAACAUCUACCAAUGGUACUUGACAGAGACCUCCUCCACCUCUUUGCUGUCUUACUAGUCAAUCCUUCUGAUCAGGUCCUUUCCUAAAUAGUGGUAAGUUUUACAGUUCAGUGUACGUUAAUUUAGCAACUUAAUGCUUUACCACUGUUGAAUAAAUCCUAUAUUGCUAGUCAUUUUAUUAAAACUACGAUUUUAAACUUUUUGAUUCCAAUUACAAUAAGUUAUAAUUGUAAAACAUAUCUUAACAUCCAUCAGCAAUCAAUACAACAAAUCAUCCAACACUAAAUAGAAGAAAUCUGGACCUAUUUCUUUUUAUACAGCAGCAUAUUUUGGGACUGCUCAUUGAUGUCAUCAAGAGCCAUUGAGUCUCCCUUUUGUAGUCGGCCUCUUAGAAUGUUUAUCAUUUCUUUGUAUCUUAACAUUCCUAUAAUAAUUAGUUUUUUUAUUGUUGAUAUUGUUUUGUUCUUUAUUUU